UACGAAGGGAGCUAGCGUUGUUCGGAAUCACUGGGCGUAAAGCGCACGUAGGCGGAUGUGUCAGUCAGGGGUGAAAUCCCGGAGCUCAACUUCGGAACUGCCUUUGAUACAGCACGUCUUGAGUCCGAUAGAGGUGGGUGGAAUUCCUAGUGUAGAGGUGAAAUUCGUAGAUAUUAGGAAGAACACCGGUGGCGAAAGCGGCUCUCUGGACGGCAACUGACGCUGAGGCACGAAAGCGUGGGGAGCAAACAGG
rnacentral:rRNA from 1 species